rnacentral:rRNA from 1 species
AGGGAAUCUUCCACAAUGGGCGAAAGCCUGAUGGAGCAACGCCGCGUGAGUGAUGAAGGUUUUCGGAUCGUAAAACUCUGUUGUUAGGGAAGAACACCCGAGAGAGGAUCUCGGACUGACGGUACCUAACGAGAAAGCCCCGGCUAACUACGUGCCAGCAGCCGCGGUAAUACGUAGGGGGCAAGCGUUGUCCGGAAUUAUUGGGUGUAAAGGGUGCUCAGGCGGAUUUGUAAGUCAGAGGUGAAAUCUUACAGCUUAACUGUGAAACUGCCUUUGAUACUGCAAGCCUAGAGUAUGGAAGAGAGCGAUGGAAUAUCUGGUGUAGCAGUGAAAUGCGUAGAUAUCAGAUAGAACACCAAUGGCGAAGGCAGUCACUUGGUCCAUUACUGACGCUAAAGCACGAAAGCGUGGGUAGCAAACA